AUUGAACGCUGGCGGCAGGCCUAACACAUGCAAGUCGAACGGUAACAUGAAUCAUCUUGCUGCUUCGCUUACGAGUGUCGUACGUGUGAGUUAUGUCUUGGAAUCUUCCUGAUGUAGUGUGAUAACUACUGGAAACGGUAGCUAAUACCUCAUAAUGUCUCAAUUCCAAUGUGGGUUACCUUCGUUCCUCUUUCCUUCGUUUGUUCCCAGAUGGGAUUAGCUUGUUGUUUGGGUAACGGCUCACCAAGGCGACGAUCCCUAGCUGGUCUGAGAGGAUGACCAGCGACAAUGGAAGUGAGAAACGGACCAGAGUCCUACGGGAGGCAGCAGAGGGGAAUAUUGCACAAUGGGGGCAAGCAUGAUGAAGCAAAGCGGCGUGUAUGAAGAAGGCGUUCGGGUUGUAAAGUACUUUCAGCGGGGAGGAAGGGAGUAAAGUUAAUAACUUUGCUCAUUGACGUUACCGGAAGAAGAAGCACCGGCUAACUCCGUG
rnacentral:rRNA from 1 species